rnacentral:rRNA from 1 species
UACGUAGGGGGCUAGCGUUGUCCGGAUUUAUUGGGCGUAAAGAGCGUGUAGGCGGCCAGGUAGGUCUGGUGUGAAAACUCGAGGCUUAACCUCGAGAUGUCAUCGGAAACCAUCUGGCUAGAGUCCGGUAGAGGAGAGUGGAAUUCCUGGUGUAGCGGUGAAAUGCGCAGAUAUCAGGAAGAACACCAAUGGCGAAAGCAGCUCUCUGGGACGGUACUGACGCUGAGACGCGAAAGCGUGGGGAGCGAACAGG